UUGAACGCUGGCGGCAUGCCUUACACAUGCAAGUCGAACGGCAGCACGGGAGCAAUCCUGGUGGCGAGUGGCGAACGGGUGAGUAAUACAUCGGAACGUGUCCUGGAGUGGGGGAUAGCCCGGCGAAAGCCGGAUUAAUACCGCAUACGCUCUACGGAGGAAAGGGGGGGAUCUUAGGACCUCUCGCUCAAGGGGCGGCCGAUGGCAGAUUAGCUAGUUGGUGGGGUAAAGGCCUACCAAGGCGACGAUCUGUAGCUG
rnacentral:rRNA from 1 species